GUCAGCGACCCCACAGGUGAACCUGGGGGCUUGUCCGAAGCCGCUCCGUGCGGUCUGGGACAGGACCCGAUGCUGACCAGCCCCCUUGGUGCGAGCACCAAGGAGCCGUUGUCUGGAGGUGCCCACGUUCGGACCAUUCGGUAGCUUUUCCAGCCGGAUGCUCUCCA
rnacentral:sRNA from 21 species